AGGUACUGCGCUCCAUUAUUAAAAAUUGCUUAAAUAAGUGCAACUCGUAUGGAAAGAAAUCCAUCGCUUUCCCAGCUAUUGGAACAGGAAUAUUGAGUUUUCCGCAUGACGUUGCUGCAAAAAUAUUUUUUGAAGAAACCAAAGAAUUUGAGAAGAGAAUUACAAACUGCACAAUAAAAGAAGUUAGUUUUGUCGUCUACAAUCAAGAUGCCAAAUCAAUUGAUGCAUUUAAGAAUGAAUUAAAGAAACAGGCAGAGUGGGACAGCAGUGGACUUGCUGCGACUGUUCCAGUUGUGUCGCCAACAAAAAAACGAAGAACGAAACGAAAUUUCAAUUUGAAGUCAACAGGCACCAAAAACGAUUCGCCCCCGAUCUCAAAAAGUGGCCUUGACGAAGCUAAUAAUAGUGUCAUGUGUGUUCAAGUUGGUGAGGAUAAAGAAUUCGAGAUCUUGAAAGGGGACAUAACGAAAGAAACAACCGAUGUAAUUGCCCACUUGACCAAUCCAGGUAUGAGUUUGAGAGGCGGUGUGGCUAUGGCUUUGACCAGGGCCGGAGGAGAAGAUAUAGAACGUGACUGCCAAGAUAAAGUUGAAUCUACUAAGCUACAAAUUACAACAACAGUCCUAACAACCGCGGGAAAAUUGGGUGCCAAGUAUGUUGCUCAUAUGAUCGCCUCUAACGAUCCUAGCUCCAACGAAGUUGAAAAGUGCAUAAGCAAUUGUCUUAAAGCAGUUAGCGAAAACGAAUGUGAAAGUAUUUCAUUUCCCGCUGUCGGGACAGGCUCCUUGAAGCAUGACCCUGAAAAAGCCGCCACAGCAAUUCUUACGUCCGUCGUACGCUUUCUUGAAUCAAGUUCUGGACCACUCAAGACCAUCCGUAUUGUACUGAAAGAUGACGACCUAGUCACAGCAUUUCAAGCAUCGGCUAAAAGGCUUAAUGAAGACGAAGAACCGGGAAUGUUGAAGAGAUUUGUGAACUUUUUCUGGAAAUCCGACUCAACAACAAUAAGUGUGAAGGAAAAGCCACCAGUAAUAAAGAAGAAACUAUUCUUGGAAAUUUAUGCAAAAGAUUUGGGCACAGUUAAUCGCGUGAAGGACAGAAUUUUAAAUAUUAUGGAAUCUCAGAAUAAGAGGGAGAAGAUAGACGAUGAUAAUAUUGGAAAACUAUCAGAGAAACAAAUAAAUGAAAUUAAACACUUGUGUGAAAUCAACGAUAUCAAAGUUACCAUUCAGAAAGAACUUAACCGUAUUGUUGUAGUUGGACACAGUGAUGACAUUUUCAAAACGUCUGGCGAAAUCAACAAACUUUUGAGAGGAAUUGGCGAGGCAGAAAAGGAAAAGGAGAAGGCGGAAUUGCAUGCUGAUUGGGCCGAGAUUGUUUCUCAAGGGGUACAGUGGUUCUACGUAGAUUCAACAAGUGGUGAUUAUGAGGAGUACGAUAAGCAAACAAACGCCAAAAUCGAGAAAGCUUACAGGAAAAAGGAAACAUCCGUUAUUAUUCUUGUUGAUGAUGAAAAAUGUGAAAUUGUAUUCGAUAAGAUGCAAGAGUCUAAUUUGGAGACAGGUGACACCAUAAAGGUCAUCAGGAAAGAUCUUAAAG
rnacentral:lncRNA from 1 species